UGGGACGAGGUUCUGUCAAUUCUAUAGGGGCCAGAGCGCUGAAGCUAGCUGGCAUCCAGGAGAGAAAGGCCAAUAGCAGUGCAGAGACAGCCACUGUCAUAUCAUCAAGCCACAGAACAGAUGCCAGCAACCCCCACCUCCGGGAACCUUGGUUCAGCUGAAUUCCAG